ensembl:lncRNA
GUAAGUGAUUACGCAUAUUACGGUUCGUCCUACGUGUAAAACACAUCGUAUUGGCUCUUUGACGCCUUUUAUUUGUUGAAUCCAUAUUUAUUAUUGGUUACUGAUUUCUUCCAUGUAUGCUAGAGCACACAAACAUACACGAAAUGUUUUGGAGAGAGGAAUUGGGCAGAUGAAACGUCGGUUCAUGUCCUCCACGGCGAAAUACGCCUCUCCCCAGAGAGGGCAAGCACAGUCAUCAUUACUGUAUGUGCCAUUCUACACAACCUCUGCAAGCGGAGGAACAUUCCACAGCCAGAUGAUGAUGAUGAUGAUGAUGGCGAUCAACAUGACAAUGAAUUUGGCCGUGUGGAACCGAGUGGACUGGGAUUUAGGGAUCACUUUGAAAACACAUUUUAGUGGCUGAAUGGCUCCCCAAUCCCGCCACGAGACCAGAUGUUCUGAGUCCACCGUCCCGGAGCGACCAGACCCGGAGGAGGACCUGCUGGCCGCUAGACCGCGCCGACGACGACGGAAGAAGAGGAGCAUGAGUCGGCCGCCUUCAUUUCAAGCUGAUUCGACCGGAGCGGAUCCACGUGUGGACGUCUGUGACUUCGUACACACACAUACACUUCUCCGUUGGCUUCGCAAGAAAGAUAAAUCAGUGUGUCAACUCACCUCCAUGUAAUGAUGAUCACAGACAAUAAAAUAAACC